rnacentral:rRNA from 1 species
AGAUUAGCUUGCUUUAGCUGUCAGCUAAGUGGCGCACGGGUGAGUAAUGUAUAGGUAAUAUGCCUCUUACUAAGGGAUAACAAUUGGAAACGAUUGCUAAUACCUUAUAUUCCUUUUUAUCAAAAGAUAAAAAGGGAAAGAUUUAUUGGUAAGAGAUUAGCCUGUAUUGUAUCAGUUAGUUGGUGGGGUAAUGGCCUACCAAGACGAUGACGCAUAACUGGUUUGAGAGGAUGAUCAGUCACACUGGAACUGAGACACGGUCCAGACUCCUACGGGAGGCAGCAGUGGGGAAUAUUGCACAAUGGACGAAAGUCUGAUGCAGCAACGCCGCGUGGAGGAUGACACAUUUCGGUGCGUAAACUCCUUUUAUAUAAGAAGAUAAUGACGGUAUUAUAUGAAUAAGCACCGGCUAACUCCGUGCCAGCAGCCGCGGUAAUACGGAGGGUGCAAGCGUUACUCGGAAUCACUGGGCGUAAAGAGCGUGUAGGCGGAUUGAUAAGUUUGAAGUGAAAUCCUAUAGCUUAACUAUAGAACUGCUUUGAAAACUGUUAAUCUAGAAUGUGG